AUGUUAGAUCUGGUUAGUUUUAUUCUAACACAGAGGAAAAGAAACCACAACAUUUUUUUUUUUCAGAAGAAAUUUCCCACAGAAACACGAACUGAAACAGACCUUUUGGAAAAGGGUAAUGCAGUCUUCAUAAUGAUCAUUACUUUGACUAUGAGAAUAAGCAAACUGUUAUGGCUGAUCAGCCACUUAAGGAGUUCUGUAAAGAUAAAAUCAUCCUUCAGCUUCAUUCCAUGCUUCCAUCCCAACACAACCAUUAAGACUGGGUUAACCAAGGCUGUUUCACUCACCUCUAAGAAGACGCCCUGCUACUCUCAGAUUUCAAACAGGCCUGGCUUUUCACUUGUCCUAGACUGCUCAGUAACUGUAUUCCAUACAACCUCUUUACUAGAAACAUCGGUAUGCCACGUUAAUAAAGCCAUUUACAAAGUUGCUGUAAAGCUUCAUUUUAACAACAAAGACUGUUCAAUAGAAAAGGCAGAUAAAAAAGAUACAUCCUGCCUCAGUGAGGAAAGUGUGAAACACUUUAAAAAAUUAGAAGGAAAUGCUGAUCUAGACAACACACACAACUUUUAGACAACUCAAUUUUUUCUAGAAAGAGCAAGAAGAGAUCAAGCUAUCGUGAAACUUAAUGUAACAAAACCCAAAUGCAAAACCUUGACACUAGUCACAAAACUUGGUACCUCUCAGAUGCUUGAACCACAGCAGUAUCACGUGGUAUUUUUGAACAGUAUGGCUGAUUCACCUGAGAAGUCUUACAAAGCAACAAGGACAAAAGGUUAGAAUAGGCAGCAAAGAAGAAUUAAUGGCACUGCAAGCAAUGAAUAUGUGUAAAAGAAGAACGUCCUUCAAUGAAGAUGUAAUGUGGAUGGUGGUUGAAACAUUUAAAAUUAGUAAUAACUCUGAGCUUUUGUUGUUUCCAUGAAGUACUAAAAAUAGAGAAGUACUGAUGAACUGUAUUUCUUUUUAGUCAUCCAGAAGAACAAAACGCCUAGGAUCUGUUUGACUACAACGUUAAAACAGAAAAGAGGGGGCAAGAAAAGAAGAACUUCCUGUGUUCUAUGCUUAUGCCUUGCAAGUGAAGUAACAUCUUCAGCAACCAUUGCUGCCAACCCUUUGCCAAAACAUGACUACAGAAUACUUUAAAAGGUUGUCCUUCAAAAGACAGCUACAAUGAUGGUAUGCUGUGUACGGCUCAAAAAGGAUUCAGACCACGGCCCAGAAACUGAGUGAAUGCUCACCUCAGGGUCAAGAGGAAGGCAGUCACGGAGAUCCUAGACCUCAACCAUGUCCAUUUCUUACACAGGCCCAUACUUGGGUCAACGAUCCUGUCACUGAACAGCCCCCUUUUACAAUACCUAGGUUAAGCCCAGCUCUUGAAGACCUCAAGAAAUGGUUUAAAGACCAACCAGUUCUAAACUCUUCAUAGGCUAGUUAGGAAAUUACAAAAGUACUGAAGGUGGCAGACAUUUUGUCUAUGGAAAUGGUGUCCAUCUGGCUGUCCAGUGCCAGAUUUUCAGUCACCUAGAGGAAGAACGUUGGCCUGGAGGAAGUGAUCUUUUGGUCACGAAGAACGGAUGGAUGGGUAAACCGCAUCUCCAAAAGGAAUUUCCAGUCCUUUCUGUACAAAUCACCCAAAUCCCGUAAGUAGAUCGGCAUUUUCUGAACGGAUGCCUCCUGGACAGCGGUCCCAAAACUCGUUUAUCAAAGUAGAAUAUUGAGGGGUGUCUCCGUUUCUGAGAAAUGCUUUUGCAAGUCUUUGGCCAAAAAAAAAUAAAAUAAAAUAGAAGCAAGAGGCA
rnacentral:lncRNA from 1 species